rnacentral:rRNA from 1 species
GACGAACGCUGGCGGCGUGCUUAACACAUGCAAGUCGAACGGUGAACUUGGAGCUUGCUCCGGGGGAUCAGUGGCGAACGGGUGAGUAACACGUGAGUAACCUGCCCCAGACUCUGGGAUAACAUCGGGAAACCGUGGCUAAUACCGGAUACGAGAUGAGACCGCAUGGUCAUUGUCUGGAAAGAAUUUCGGUCUGGGAUGGACUCGCGGCCUAUCAGCUAGUUGGUGAGGUAAUGGCUCACCAAGGCGACGACGGGUAGCCGGCAUGAGAGGGCGACCGGCCACACUGGAUCUGAAACACGGUCCAGACUCCUACGGGAGGCAGCAGUGGGGAAUAUUGCACAAUGUGCGCAGGCCUGAUGCAGCGACGCCGCGUGGGGGAUGAAGGCCUUCGGGUUGUAAACCCCUUUCAGCAGGGAAGAAGCGAAAGUGACGGUACCUGCAGAAGAAGCGCCGGCUAACUACGUGCCAGCAGCCGCGGUAA